AAUAUUGUGAAAUAAGAUCUACAUAAUCGAUAUCUUAAAGACUUUGAGAUAUGACAUGAAUUAUACUUUCGAUAUUUCUAUCAAUUUUAAAAAGCUAUUAUUUAAUCUCUUUAAUCAAUAUACUACCAUAUUACAAUACUAUAUCUUUUAACAUGGACUUAUCUUUAUUUUCAUUUAUUUCACGCCAAGAAAUUUUAACUGAAACUAUGAAAUAUCACAAAUUCAAAACCUAACCUCAAAUAUGCAACAUUGCAUAUCAAUACCACUUCCAUCCAAUUCGCUAAAAAGAAGGCGUGAGUUGCGUGUCAUAUUUGUCGAAUUUACCAGCGUGGUUCGUGUUACAAGCCCUCUAACGGUGUUAUCAUGAAAUAUUUCGUGACCUGAAUUUCGGCAUUGCACGAAACCGCUCACUCUAUCAGCACUAGUUUAAUGGUUAAUCCGUGAAAGCGCGUUACGUGAGUGUGCGCGAAACACACAAUACACGCAACGUGAUCGCGUACGUGAAUAAAAGAAAGAAAGAAAAAUAAAUCAACGGAUUUGUCGUUCGGUUGUUUUUAAUCGCAGGGACACACUUGACGAGCUUCACGCGAACAUUGUUAUUGGACAGUUAUGAACGGAAGAUGAGAGGAGGCACGAUAACACGAUAUCCCAGGAAUAAGGAAAUCAAGAAGGGAAAAAAAAGGAGACACGCGAGAACAGGCGACCAGGUGGCCGAAACCACCUGCCUUUCGGAAUGGCUCGCCUAACUAAAGCGUAUCGAGUUUUUCGGUACUCCUUGACAUUCGAAGAUUCGUAAAAAAAAAAAAAAAA